UACGGGGGGUGCGAGCGUUGUCCGGAAUCACUGGGCGUAAAGGGCGCGUAGGUGGCGUCGUAAGUCUGUGGUGAAAGCCCGGAGCUCAACUCCGGGUCUGCCGCGGAUACUGCGAGGCUUGAGUGCUGUAGAGGGGGGUAGAAUGCCGGGUGUAGCGGUGGAAUGCGUAGAGAUCCGGCAGAAGACCGAUGGCGAAGGCGGCCCCCUGGGCAGUAACUGACACUGAGGCGCGACAGCGUGGGGAGCAAACAGG
rnacentral:rRNA from 1 species